rnacentral:rRNA from 1 species
AUGGAAAAAAUGAAGGAUGUGCCGGUACCAGAAGGUGAAGAGCCAAAGUCUGCUGCUCAAAUUGUUGAAGAAGUGCUCAAGACCGAAGUCAAGGAAAGCACAUUCCUGGGCUCCAGUCAUCUAGCAACAACUCUGGCAAAGCAACUGCUGAAGUGGCUGCUCAUGUUUGUGAUCUUGAGCAGAAGCUGGAGAGGUCGGAGCUUCAAGCUGAAGUGA